CUAAAGAAUGGUACUCCCACCAGAAGAAAAAUUGCAGGUGGGGUUGGCUAUGAGAAUUGGUAGAAGGGAAUAGAAAGUUGGGUUUUACAUUAAAUCUACAGUAAUCUAUUAUAUAAACAUUUGGUUCUAUCUCAAAAUUAGUUAACAAUAAUGGAAGUAAUCUAUGUAUCUUAUAAUGAUAUAAAGAUCGUGAAAAUUUUCAUCUUCUAUCAAUGUAAGAUUUUCAAAAUGGUGUAGUGUUUCCUCGUUGUAUCCUUCUUGGAUCAAUUUACUUUUUUUGUAUGAAUAUCGUUGUAGGUUUCAUACACUACAGUACCAUAUUAGAUAAACCAUGAAGUUCUAUCUAUAAAAUAAAAAAAAAUCUAAGUCUUUAUCCAAAAAUAGUGAAUUUGAAGAAACAUACCACUUAGAUGAUAUUUUAAAUGAGAAAACAUCACAAUUUUAAUAAAAUCCAUUGGCCACUCCUCUCAAUUUCUAAUUAGUUUUUAGAUGGAAUCUCACACUUUCUAAUGUAGUAUUAAUGCUUAUUUUCUAACAAGUCACAAUUAACGAACAAAUUUAUGAAUCCUAAAUUUGUAUUUAAUCAAGCAAAAACGAGCUAAGCUAAGUUGUAUAUUAGCACAAUUUUAUCGUUAGAGGUGGAAGUUUCUAUCCACAUCCUCUAAAUUGUUGUGGAAAAAUUAAGUAUUACAUAAAAGAAGAAUAUCCACUCCAACGUUAUGGUAAAGCAACUCUACUUGGUACUUUAAUCAUGUUAGAAGAAAAGCAUGAAAAGUUACCCUCUAAAAAUCUGUGCUCUUAACAUUUUCCUCUCUAGAAGGUUUGGCCUUAUUUUUGGUCUACCGAAUUUGAAUCAGGACACUUCUUUCCUUCUUUCCUCUAUGAAUAAUGAAGAACAACAGGUUGCCUUGUUAGGAGUGUGUUGCUUAGUCUUUAAUGUUUUGCAACAGAAGUGAGCAACUUCUUUGUGCUCAAUAUAUCCUUGUCUUUAGAGGAAGCCUAAGCUAGCCUUGCCUGUUAUAGAUUGAGAAAAUGUUAGAAAUAGACAGACAAAAGUUUGUAAUGGUAACUUUUAGCCAAAAAAAAGAAAUUGUGAUGAUAUUGCUUCUAUGGCCCCGUAAGUACAAAAAUGUUAGAUAGGCAAUUUCUCCAUUGAAGGUGUUUGCAAAAAUAGCAAUUUUUUUUUUAAUGAUAAUAAGAGGUAUGUCACUACACAUUUUAUAAAUCGUAAAUGUAGCAAAUUGAAAUGCGGAUAACUCUCUAAUAGUCCUCUAAUAGCCAUAUGAUAUAUUAAUUAAUUACUAGUUAUAUUUGCAAUAUGAAAAAAAAAAUGUUUUGAAUUGUUUUUUUCAAAAUUUUCUUGAGAGCGGACUCAAUUUCCCCUUUUGAGACGAAGGUAUUAGAGUUUGGAGAAAAGAAAAUGGUAAAGAGGAGAUCACACAAUUUUGAAUGAUUGAAGUGUAAAUUUAAAACAAACUAUAUAUAUAUAUCUUAGUCUUAAAAAGAUUAAAAUUAAUAAGCAAAUAGGUAUCAAAUGAAUACAAUUUGUAAAAUAUUUCUAUACGAAUAUGUGCACAUAUGGGAAAAGAAUAAAAAUAAGAGAUGAAUUAUUUUGUUAUAUUGUGCAAAAUAGUUCAAUAUUUUGAAGAAUAAAAUUAUAAAUAAAUUGGAAUUUUAAGCAAUAAAAAUGGAUUAAUUUAAUAAAAAAUAAGAUUGAAACACUUAACAUUAUUAGACGUUGGACUAAACCUGAAUAAAACUGAUCACCCAUUGACCACUGUGUCAACUUGCAGUUUGGAAACACAAAUUUUCAAUCUAUAUAUAAACACAAAUUUUUAACAUUUUAUAGAAAACAAUCUAUUUAUAUACUAAACGACCCGAUGUGGUGGGGGCAGGUGGCCCUUGCCUCUUCAUAGAUCCCGACUUCAUAAGAAUUACUCCAAAUCUCAAUUUUGAGAUGAUGGUUGUUUUGAGCUUUGGAAGAGAUUUCUGAUGUUGAAUGAAGUUAAUUAGAAAUGCAGCUACAGCCAUUUCUCGUGAAAAAUAUGGUUAUCUGUCUAAUCUAUCUACCCAAUGACAGGUUUCUAUCAACAUAAAAAGAGGCCAAAACAAAGGACGAUUUCAGGACCGUUUUUUGCAGGACACUGUAUGAGCGAUGUUUUGUUUAAUCAAAUCAAUAUGGGAUUUCUUGGAUUUCUUGGAUUUUUUUCUUUUUCUGUUUUUUAAUACAUAAUAUUUUUUUGUUGGAAAAUGCAUUUGAUUCCUUUUUUCCUUUUGUUUACACAAAUCAUAUGACUAAGUAUCUCCUAUGGUCAGCGACGCAUAUGAUCACGAUGCCCAAGUUGCAAUCCUAGUAAUCAUACUAUCAAAUCAUAAUAUAUUUGGUGCAAUAUGACGAGUGUUAAACAUUUUUAAUGUCACAUUUCUAUAAAGUGAUUUAAAAGUGAGUUGCUCAAACUAUUAAAACAUGUUUAACAUUAUUUAAUUUUUAAAUAAGUUUUGUUAGAUCGACCUAUUGAAUGAUCAUUUGUCACCAAAAUAUGGCAAAAGGAAAAAAAAACUAAUUAAAGAUAAAGAAUUUUUUUUUUGUUAGAUUGGGAAAUUAAUGUAUGGAGAGAGAGAACAAAAAUACCAAAGAGAGGAUAUAAAUUUGGAGAGGGAAAGUAUAUUUAGUGGGAACGUGAUCACAAAACUCUUUGAAACGUGGAGCGAUGAAAACUAAAGGGAUUGUUUGGUCCAUGAGUUUGGAAUCAGGGAGGUUUGGUACUUGAAGCAUACAAUUUUCGUUUACUGAUGUUAUUAUGAACCAUACCAUUUUCGUUUAGGAUCCAUCUCUCAGCUUGCUGGGACCAUUAUUCACUGCAAUAGGAGGGAGAUCAUUUUCUAUGUUCUGCCUGAUAAUUGAUUCUCUGUCAUUCAUCCGUCCUCUCGGCACGAUGCUCUAAUCAUUUAUGCUAAUAUUGAAAGGAUGAAAGCCCUAUGGCAGCAGAAUAAUUUAAAGAAUCAUUUUUCAAAUUAAUUUGGAAAUCUUAAAAUACCGGUACAUUGGCAAAAUUUUAGAAUCAAAAUUCUAAAUAAAUUCUAAGUAUGCUUUUAAAGAAUAAGAUACAAUAACUUACUUUCGAUGACGUCUCUGAAUUUACAAAUCAAUCUCCAAAUUAGGACAUCACCCGUCGGAGACUUUCCUAUCAUUUGGGAUGAGAUUGGUUUGUGUGAACCAAUUGAGAUGGAAAAAUACUUGGAGAUAUUUGAGAGAAACUCUUUUUUCUCUCAAUUUGCAUUGUUUUUUUUUCUUAAUGAAUUUUGUUUUAAGAAAACUGUUUUCUUUUAAAUAUUUAUAUUUCUAUAUCCCUCUUAGAAUAGAAAAAGAAAGAAGUAGGAGAAUCAUCAGAUUCUUAAUAUCAAAUCUAUUAAUUAAUUAACAUUUAAUCAAUUAGUUAAUAAUUAAUUAUUAUUUCAUUCAAAUCUUAUUUGAAUAAAUAUCUCUCAAAUAUCUUAUACAUUUAUAUUAAUAUAAAUAAAAUAAAAUAAAAUAAAAUAAUUAAUUAAUCCUCCAAUUAAUUAAUAGCUAAAUAUUUAACUUAAAUUAAGUUUGAAUCAUAUUCAAAUAUAAGCUUCUCGUAACAAUUUUAAUAUGAAUCCAAUUCACAUUAAAUUAAUAUUUAAACUCGUUCAAAUAUUUUAUCUCUCAUAAAUUAAUUUUGAAUCAUAUCCAAAAUUAAAUUUAUAUAAUGAAGUUUCACAAACUUUAUAUUAUAAUGUAUCACUAUACAUUAAACUAAUUCCCUAAGUAAAUUUAAACAAUUCAAAUUACAGCCAAUAUAAAUAAAUCUUAUUACUCUUUACGAGCUAGGAAGGGGGCCUAAUGGACCUACAGAUCAAAAGCUACAACGAUUUGAGAUUAAUUGGCUAAACUCAUUAACUAUGUUAAUCAAUAUUCGUUAACUGUGUGUACACUCCACUAAAGACUCACAACUGAACUCUUCUCACUAUAGUAAUAUUUAUGUGUCAACGGAUAUAGACCAAUAGCAGUAAGUUAGUCAUUCAUGAGUGUUCGUAACACCAGUUGGGUCAAUUUACCGUUUUACCCCUAGGUUACGUCUAAUCCUUAAAUACCAGUGCUCCUCCAAUGAACAACCUGUUUAUGGUCCUACCAAUAAACAAAAACCUCUCUCGUGCCAUGGAUAAAGUAGGGUCCUUUGUUCAAGACCUGGUGACACCAUUUAAAGGAACACCCGUCUACUUACCCUAAAAUAGGGAAUGAGUGAAUUUCAUCUUAAAUAAUUAUGUUUCUAGCUCCCUAGUCGAUCUUGUUUCCAAAAAGAUAAGCUUAUUGAGUUGGCGAUCUGGCCACUCUCACCCGUACAAAUCAAAGGACAAUCCCUCGAAAAAAGGAGUUCAUAACACACUCAGGAUUAAGAUUAAGUUACCUAGGUCAUCCUAAUGAAAUAGAAACCUAACUAGUUAACGGAGUUACAUCUAGUGGUUACUAAUUUGCGGUUCGAUCUUAUGCAAACUCAUUGAAUAGGAUACUCUCACUCGCAUGUCAACUACACGAACGCAUUGGAUCAUUGUGCUUGUAUCAAAUACAAAGUGAGCCGUAUCAAUAGUGUUACCAAGAUAAGACACCCAACUUUAUCCCUAUACUAUAGACCCUUUAAGCUGAUUUUGAACAUCGAUCCUUAUAUGUCUCUAAAUACUGUUCAAGACUCAUUAAACAGCUUAGGAUGUUAGUUUAUUGGAUUUGGGUUAUUAAGACAAAACUAAUAAUUUAACCAAUAACAAUUAUUACAAUAAUAACACUUUAUUAAUAACGGUCAAUAGAUUAUAUUUACAAUCUACGAGUUUUAGAACAUAAAUUCCAACAAAUAUCUCACACAUCUUUGAUUGAAGCGUUUUGGAUUUCAGAUAUAGCGUAAAGUCUUGUAUGUUUUAGAAGAAAGGGGAAUAUUACUACUCCACCUACUAUUCCAAAAAGAGAUAUUUUUUCCAUAGUUGAUUGUCCAAGAAAAUUUUGUCUCAAACCAAUCUUUUCCUUUUAAAUAUGCAUUUCCACUCCUAAUUUUCCUUCAUUCUCCCAAAUGAGAUUUUUUGGAUUUUGCAUCGAUAAUUCUCUUUUCCAUAGGAAAUUGUUUACAUGGUGGUAAUGCCAAAGCCAUUUGCUCAAAAGUGCUCAAUUUGUGUUCUUUACUUUUAUGAUACUCAACCCUCUGACAGCUUACGGACGUGGAUAAAUCUAAUUUUAUAAGAUUGAAGUUAGAGUCUUUAUUAUUUCCUUUCCACAAAUAAUUUCUCCAAUGCCUUUAUCAACAUAUUUACUCAAGCGUUUAUCUACAUUUCUAUGUACAUUUUUGUUAGAUUGAUUAGACUUUAGACAUAUAUUUUCAUUGGCAUCCACUGGGUCACACAUGUUAGCAUUUUCAUCGAUAUAUUAAUAUAAUCACGUAAGAGUUUGGGUCAUUUUUGGUAAACAUGCUAUUAAAGCUUUAUGGAAGAGAAUCAUUUUUCCCCAAUGCAAUUGUAGUGUUUAAUUUUAAAAAUAAGUCGUUUUUGAAAAAAAUAAUUGAGACGUUUGAUCACAACUAUUCAAAAUAAUUUUUGAAACAUUUUCAAAAUUUAUUUUUGACUGUUUUUAUUAAAAGAGUUUAAAUCAAAAUAAUCUUUUUUGCAUCGAACUUGUGGGCUACGAGUCUUGCAUUUUUUAUUUGCAUUAAUGGAUCCUUUUAUCUUGUGUAUGAUAAGAGCGCUAAGAAGGUAUCAACUUAGUUGGUAUGUUCGGGUGCAUGUACUAAUUGUCUCUUGUUUACUAGUACUUAUUAAAAAUAUAAUUUUUUAAAACUAUUUUUUUUUCUCUAGUCAAUCCAAACACAUGUCCUCGUAACAUAUUUAUUCAAUCACUUAAGCGAAGUCAAUUCAAAUACACCUUUGAUUUCAUUAGCAACUAUGUAAUAUGAGAAAUAUGUUGUUGGAGCUCUCUCACGAAGACUACAUUGGAAGCUUAGUAAAUAUGUUAAUCAAUCAAAGUAAUUUUGUCCCCCACACACCUAAUUAGAAAUUUAAGCUAAGACACCAAAGGCUACCUUGUCUUUAUCCUUCCAUAAUGUUUCAAUAAUAUACUAUUGUCACGUGGUUAUUUUGAUCACAAAACCAACGUGCGGCACAAAGGUGUUGGGGUUGCACCAAUGUAAGCCUAAGAGUAAUUGGACUUGUUGGAACAAGCUAAGGAAGAAGAAAAUUCGUAGGUAAGAAGUAGACAAAGAGUUGUAGACAAGGUGUUUGAUAAAAUGCUUAAGAGAGCUUUGUUGAUGAAUUCCCAAAGAUUCUGUGUUGUCUGUACAAAUGGACCCCUUUGGGGUAUUUAUAGAAGUAUACAACUGACUUACAAGCCCUAAACCGCCUUACAAGGUCAGCAAAAACAAUCUGGAAAAUUUCUGAGCGUUCAUGACACUGUCCAGAAGUUUAGGGCCUUCUGGAGGCUUCCGCGCGCGCCUUCGCGCGUGUUCACGAGCCUUCUCGGCCGAUCGCGAUUCGUCUGGAAACUUCGAGACGUUCCUGGAUGCUUCUCCGUGCGCUCUGUGCGCUCUGUGUCCGCUUCCCGCACGCGCGUCCGACCGGCCUUGCGCGCGCGUCCGUGCCGCGCGCGCCUAUCUGCCGUGCGCAUCCUCUUGUCUGCCUGCCGCCCUUGCCAGUCUCCUGCACAUUGGCGUGUCAUAGGCUUGGCGUGAACUGGUUCCUUUUCCUUGGGUCUUUGGACUGCUUGGGACUUGGUUGGCUCCUCUUGGGCAAUGCUAAAGAGCCUUAAUUUGCGAAAAAUUUGUUGGGUCAUUUUUGAGGCGUGACAUCCUCCCCCACUCGAUUUUGCAACGUCCUCGUUGCGCUUUCUUGAAAUCUUCUGAUUUCAUCUUGAAAUUGCCAUAGGGUGUCUUCCUUUUCCCAACUUGCUUCGCUUUCGGGCUGUCCUUCCCAAGCAAUCAAAUAUUCGUUAUAACUGGGAACUCUUCUCCUUCGUAUCUUCCUCUCUGCUAAGAUCUCCUUGAUUUUCCUGUCGAACUCUGAGAUCAUGCCGGUAGGUGCACGAGAGGACUCACCUCUACUUGGAUCUUCCUUGUCUUCAAAGAAAGGCUUCAACAUGCUCACAUGGAAGACAUUAUGGAUCUUCAGUAUGGGAGGAAGUUCUAAUCGGUAAGCUGCUUUGCCCACUUUCUUGAUGAUAGAGAAGGGUCCUUCAUAUCUUCGGAUUAGGCCUUUAUGUACCUUGCGUAGAGAUUUAAACUGGUUAGGUAGCAGCUUUACCAUUACUUUUUCCCCUACUUGGUACUCUCUAGCCCUCCUUUUCCUAUCCGCCCACUUUUUCAUUUUACUGGCGGCCUUCGCCAGGCAUGCCCUCGAUAUAUCACAUUCUUCGUGCCAUUCCUUGAUUCUGUUAAGGAAAUCACUUCUGGACAUGCUGGUGGUUAUAGCAGCCAGUUUUGCCUUCUGGCUUACGACGUUAUUGACUGCAUCGGCGUUUUCUGACUUUGCCUCGGGCAUAACGUCCUUGUGUUCUGCUGGGACCGUUAAUUUAGGAUUUGUCUCUCUCGACGGUAUGCUUGAUGUUGGGUUUCGACGACUCCUUCCUUAUUUAGCAUGACUGACAAUCUGAUCGCUGGUUUUCCCUUCUUUAGUGGGAUGGUCGUUAUUUGACCAUCCACUAUCGUCAGGUACAUCCGGAGGAGUCAACGAUAGCAAUUACUCUAUCGAAGAACCCUAAGCCAAGCACGAUGUCAAAGUCAUCCAUAGGUAGCACGGUGAAGUCGAGCUUACCUUGCCAAUCACCGAUCUUGACUGUUACACCUCUUGCUACACCUUUGAUGGCUUGUGCUUUUGAGUUUACCGCCUUGACAGUCCCCUCUUCGUUUGUGAACUUGAGGCCUAUUCUCUUAGCCUCAUUCACGUUCAUGAAGUUAUGACUCGCACCGGUGUCAAACAUGGCAAUAGCCUCUCUCCCGUUUAUCUUUACAUUUCCAUGGAGUAGGCCUCCUUUAGUUGUUUGAUUGGCCUGUUUCAGAGCUCCAAUGUGUUGCAAGGAACCAAUCUGUGGUGUAUCAUCUCCUUGCUUGGACUCGAGCAAUUUGGCAACAAGUGCAUUCAUUGCUUUUCUAUUCGGACAGUCUCUUGUCCGAUGAGGGCCAUUACAAACAAAACAGGGAGAAGGUUUGGACGACUCACCUUGUUGAGUUUUGUGAUACUUGCCAUGUCUUUGGAAUGCCUUCUUUCCCUUUUCCUUUUGCUCGGAGUCUCUAUGCUUGUAGUGAUUGCCUUCACGUUUACUUGGGCUAGGUUUUCUCUCCUUUGAUUGGGUUGUAUAAUCGAUAAGCAUCUCAGCUGCGGCUAUAGCGUCGUCCAAUGUUUGGACAUUGCGACGGUCUAGCUCAACCUUGGCCCAAUCUUUCAAUCCAUCUCUAAAUUGGAAUAGGGCUUCCUUCUCGGGCAGAUCACUAAUUUCAAGCAUAAUAGUGGUAAAUUCCUUCACAUAGUCGAGAAUGUUACCUGUGUGUCGUAGCCUUCGAAGUUUGGCUCUUGACUCCAUUUCGACAUUGUGGGGAACAAAGUGCUUUCUUAGUUCGGCCUUGAAUUGUUCCCACGUCUGGAUGGCAUUCCCAUUUUGGUCAGCGUAUCUUCGACGCCACCAAAGUUGUGCGGCAUCCCUUAGGAAUGUCGGGGUAUUGUUUAUCUUGGCCUCAUCAUCUCGAACACCGACAACUAUGUAGUAUCGGUCAAGGCCAAAGAGGAAGUUUUCCACGACCGUGGCAUUCCUCACCCCAUUGUAUGUGUCAGGUUUCGGCACUUUUAUGUGAGUAGUGCCUUGCACAGCGGUGUGUGUACUGGUGGAUGGACCGUCUCCACCAAAGUGCUUGGAACGACAUUCCAUGCAAAGAGUAUCUACCUUUGCAUCUAGGGAAAUAUACUUAGAAUAGAGUUCGCGUAACUCACCUUCAACAAAUGUCUUCGAAAGUUUUGAUGACAACUCUUUCAAAUCCUUUUGGAAUGUUUUUCCAAGGUCGGCCACGAGCUCCUUGGUUGCUGCGGAGAUUUCCACAUUCUCCUGAAUAAGCUCUUCGUAGUUAUCACCCAACUCUUCUACCGUGUGCUGGACAUCCUCGAGACUUUGCUCAAGGUUGGCAAGGCGAGUUUCGACAUGCUCCCUUGCAUCCGGACCCUUAGAUUUCGAUCGUCGGGUCGGGGAUCGUCGGUCCUUCCUACCUCGUGUGAUAGGUCCUUCAAGAACCUGCUCAGCUUGGGCUGAAAUGUGGCCUUCUUC
rnacentral:lncRNA from 1 species